GAUGCCUGUGAGGAUGUCUAAGCUGGUGACAGAAGCCCCCAGAGCUUGUGACCUCUGACCUGAGUCCCCAGGACCAGCUUAGGCCACUGCCUCCUGGGAUGGAAAACGGACCCACCUGGCAGCGAUCUUCAGAACUUUGUGCAGAGUUCCAGAGGAGCUGGACAAGUCAGACCACCCGGAGAACAGGGUUGCGCCCGUUGGAGAGAAGAAAUUUAGUCAUCUCACCCCUGCGAGACAGAUAGAAGGCUUGAUGAUUGGCAGCCCAGAGGCAUUCCCUGCCCCUGCAAGCCCCACCUACCCUAACACAGUACCUGGCGGCUGUGAUCUGAGGAUUACGAGAUCCAAGAUAUCCUUGGGCAGCUCCACACUAAGAUAGAAAUCAGUCUGAGGCCACUGCACUAUAAAACAGGGUCAUAAAUAAAGACUGCAUUCAAAUCCUA